rnacentral:rRNA from 1 species
GACGAACGCUGGCGGCGUGCUUAACACAUGCAAGUCGAACGGAAAGGCCCUGCUUUUGUUGGGUGCUCGAGUGGCGAACGGGUGAGUAACACGUGAGUAACCUGCCCUUGUCUUUGGGAUAACUUCAGGAAACUGGGGCUAAUACCGGAUAGGAGCUCCUGCUGCAUGGUGUGGGUUGGAAAGUUUCGGCGGUUGGGGAUGGACUCGCGGCUUAUCAGCUUGUUGGUGGGGUAGUGGCUUACCAAGGCUUUGACGGGUAGCCGGCCUGAGAGGGUGACCGGGCACAUGGGGACUGAGAGACGGACCAGAAGCCUACGGGAGGCAGCAGGGGAGAAUAUGGCACAAUGGGCGGAAGACUGAUGCAGCAACGCCGCGUGCGGGAUGACGGCCUUCGGGUUGUAAACCGCUUUCGCCUGUGACGAAGCGUGAGUGACGGUAAUGGGUAAAGAAGCACCGGCUAACUACGUG